GGUGGCGCGCAGCGGCGGCAAAGUAGCUCUUUGACCCGACCCCCGUCGAUAUUGCAGAAAACAUGUGUGGGUGUCCAUCACGGCGGGAUGGUUCCAAGGCAGCUAGGGCUCUUGGGAAAAAUAACCUCAGCGCCCCAUCUCCAAUUAUAGCAUUGCCUGCCCGCAGAACCGGGGGGCUGUGUGUGUGGGAAGAUUAGUUGACGCAAAAACCAUUCGAAAAACUCUGCGGCCGGGUCGUUCGAAAGAUCGCGUCUCCAUGCCCCGUGACCUCCUUUGCCAAGAGCAGAAAACAGAUUUGACAGAUGUUUCAAGUGACAGCACGGCCAAGAGAGGAUAGAAGACAAAGAACUGGAAUAUAACAAGAACAUUUCUGCUUUCUCCAGAUUCCUUGUCUGCUUCAUUUCACCUGGAUUCAAAGGCCCGAGCAAUCUCGAAGCUGUCGGGUUCAAAUGACAUUGUCUGGAUAUCUCAGUGAAUCCGUUUUCUUUGAAACUUGACAGAAGCUCUUGCCUCGAAAUGCAAUACGGAAGCAAAAGGAAGGAAGAGAGAUCACUUCACCUUUCGGAGGGUGAACUGGUUGGAGGUGAAACGGCAUAGGUCCCACCCUGAGGAGACAGAUUGGGAACGACCCCCCCCC